CUGGACUCACAGGCCUCCCUUCCACUCACAGCUUUUUGAAGUAGCUCUGUGGACUUACACCAGAGAGAUGAAAAGCUGAAAUCCAGCUGCCGUUCAUUCCUGCUUUGAGAUUAGGAAAGGUAGAGCUGAAUUUGGGCUAUGUUACUCAGAAGCUUUUCCCCAGCUGAUGGAGGCCUGCCCUGGAGGUGCUCAGCUCCAUCUCUGCUGUCCAGGCUGUGAGCAAGAACACCUAAGGAAAGCCAGCAGCCUCCUUCACUCUCCCUCCCCAUCCAUUCAGGUACAGGCCACAAGUCUGCAGCAUCUCACUACAAAAUCAGCACAGAGGCAGUGAUCACACCACGAUGAAAAAAAAAAAAAUAGAUUAAAAAGAGAGGAAAAAAUCAGCUGCUAGAACAAAAGCCAAACAGAAAUGUGUUCCUUAAAUUAUUAGUAGUGUAUUAGAGGUGAUUUAGCACUCACAUGGCCAUUCCUACAACUGCAGAGACCCUGCAACAUAUCUUAUUCCCUUUGUAAUGCGGAUGGCACUGAGAUUGCUCUCAUCUUCUGGGCUUAUAAGCAAAUAUAUUUAAUUUGGAUGUAAUACAGCCAGGAGGGUGAUUUCUCCAGAUGGCGAUUUAAGCAACAGAUCAAGAGAUGAAUUAAGCACCUCAUUCCUUCAGAUUUUAGGAGAUCUGCAGGUGCCAGGGAUCCUGCCUCCAGCUUGGGUCCAGGGUAAAUUUCGGCCAAGAUGAAGCCUCUUAUUGGCUGCAUGAAUUCUAGCCUCCUUCAUUAACAUGAAGAGUGCCGUGCUCCCCGCUGUCUUAGGAGUUACAGAACAUUUAAAAGAUGAUUUGCGGACAGAUUAAGGACUUCAGAAGGAGAGAUGACACCAGACCUAGGUUUUUAUGCUUUAAUUUCCUAACUGUUCCUGCAUUACUUCACAGUUGAUGACGUGUGGGGCCAAGCUCUUGGCACACGUGAGCACAGUGGAUAUUCAAGGAGCGUUAACUCGGGUCCAUUUUUCUUUCCAUCAAACACAGCCUCCUGGUAAAAGAGCCAUUCAGGAUGCCUGGAGGAGCCCAGAUUUCAAAUCUGAUGAAGUCUGCAGUUCUAUAAAUUCCCUCCCUCUUUUGUGCUGAUGGCAACGACUUUUAUAUGUAUUUUCAUGUCUUUCUCUCCAGAGAUAAAUUUUGUGGCCUGCCACUGAAUCUGCUUCCUAAAAUGUA
rnacentral:lncRNA from 1 species